rnacentral:rRNA from 1 species
AAAUUGAAGAGUUUGAUCAUGGCUCAGAUUGAACGCUGGCGGCAGGCCUAACACAUGCAAGUCGAACGGUAACAGGAAGAAGCUUGCUUCUUUGCUGACGAGUGGCGGACGGGUGAGUAAUGUCUGGGAAACUGCCUGAUGGAGGGGGAUAACUACUGGAAACGGUAGCUAAUACCGCAUAACGUCGCAAGACCAAAGAGGGGGACCUUCGGGCCUCUUGCCAUCGGAUGUGCCCAGAUGGGAUUAGCUUGUUGGUGGGGUAACGGCUCACCAAGGCGACGAUCCC